UACGAAUGCGGCUAGCGUUGUUCGGAAUCACUGGGCGUAAAGCGCGCGCAGGCGGAUCGAUAAGUCGGGGGUGAAAGCCCGGGGCUCAACCUCGGAAUUGCCUUCGAUACUGUCGGUCUCGAGUCCGGGAGAGGUGAGUGGAAUUCCUAGUGUAGAGGUGAAAUUCGUAGAUAUUAGGAAGAACACCAGUGGCGAAGGUGGCUCACGGGCCCGGUACUGACGCUCAGGUGCGAAAGCGUGGGGAGCAAACAGG
rnacentral:rRNA from 1 species